UGAGCAAUCUGCCCCUCUCUUCGGAAUAAGCGUUGGAAACGACGUCUAAUGCCGAAUACGACCUCCUUUCGCAUGAUCGGAGGUGGAAAGCUCCGGCGGAGAAGGAUGAGCUCGCGGCCUAUCAGCUAGUUGGCGUGGGUAAUGGCCACCAAGGCGACGACGGGUAGCCGGCCUGAGAGGGUGACCGGCCACACGUGGGACUGAGACACGGCCCAGACUCCCGUACGGGAGGNAG
rnacentral:rRNA from 1 species